rnacentral:rRNA from 1 species
GGAUCAGGUAGGGAUACCCGCUGAACUUAAGCAUAUCANUAAGCGGAGGAAAAGAAACCAACAGGGAUUGCCUCAGUANCGGCGAGUGAAGCGNCAGCAGCUCAAAUUUGAANUCUGGCCNUCUCAGGNUCCGAGUUGUAAUUUGGAGAAGAUGCUUCGGGUGUGGCCCUGGUCUAAGUUCCUUGGAACAGGACGUCGCAGAGGGUGAGAAUCCCGUACGUGACCGGUGGCCGCCCCCGUGUGAAGCUCUUUCGACGAGUCGAGUUGUUUGGGAAUGCAGCUCAAAAUGGGUGGUAAAUUUCAUCUAAAGCUAAAUAUUGGCCAGAGACCGAUAGCGCACAAGUAGAGUGAUCGAAAGAUGAAAAGCACUUUGGAAAGAGAGUUAAACAGUACGUGAAAUUGUUGAAAGGGAAGCGCUUGCAACCAGACUUGCGCGCAGCUGAUCAUCUAGUGUUCGCACUGGUGCACUCAGCUGUGCUCAGGCCAGCAUCGGUUUAGGUGGUUGGAUAAAGGCCUCGGGAAUGUGGCUCCCCCCGGGGAGUGUUAUAGCCCGAGGUGCAAUGCGGCCUACCUGGACCGAGGACCGCGCUUCGGCUAGGAUGCUGGCGUAAUGGUUGUAAGCGACC